AAUGGCCAUCAGUCCAGGAAGUGAUGCGGCUUUCUCGGGUCAGAAACCAACGCGUUCAGAGAGUCCUCGAUCAAAGAAAUUUCUGCUAACUGAAGAAGAGAUAUUUUAUAUGAAUUGUAGAGCUGCCUACUUAACUGUUUUCAAAAGCAGUUUAGAUAACAUUAUUUCUAAAGAUCAACUUUACUUAGCUCUUCAGCACGCAGGAAGAAAUCCAUCCCAAAAGACCAUUAAUAAGUAUUGGACUCCUCAAACUGCCAAACUGAAUUUUGAUGAUUUUUGUAUAAUUUUAAGAAAGGAAAAGCCAACCUCAAAAGCAGAAUUGCUAAAAUCAUUUAAGCAAUUAGAUGUAAAUGAUAAUGGCUCUAUUUUACACACUGAUCUUUAUAAACUUCUAACAAAGAAAGGUGAGAAGAUGACUCGAGAAGAAGUAAAUGCCAUAAUAAACUUGGCUGAUGUAAAUGCAGAUGGCAAAUUUGACUAUAUCAAGUUUUGUAAAUUAUAUAUGGCAACCAAUGAACAGUGUCUCAAAACGGCUCUAGAAAAAUUGGAGGUUGACAGUAAACUGAGGCGUCAACAGUUUGGAAGCCACAUGGAAGGGUCCCCUGAAAGGGACCCAUCACCAGUACCAAAAGCAUCACCUAGAAUCAUAAGAAAAACUGAUCAGGAAUCAUUCUCAAAUAAAGGUGACACCAGGAAUUCUUCACUGGCAACAGCCAGACAGUUCAAAACAUCUGUUUCCGUAACAGUUACCGUGGGUGCUGAUAGUAAUCAAAACUCAAAGUUAAUUGAGCCACACUCAAUAAAGGAGUGGCAAGGUGUACAAUCAAAAGGUUGCUUUUUCUUAGAAGAAGAUGGUGAAAUCAUUAGUCAUCAAUACAAGAUGCAAAUAGCUCAGAGAUCCCUGGUUUAUAUAACAAUUAAGCCAUUAAACCUGAGUCAAGCUGAAGGAAAACCAUCCCCUUGGUUGUCAGUUGAUACUGCCUUGUAUAUUCUUAAGGAAAAUGAAAGUCAAGCAAAUCUACAACUCUUGUGUUUUACCGAACUACGAAAUAGAGAAACGUUUGGGUGGACUGGUGAACUAGGACCUGGAAUUUACUGGUUAGUUCCUUCCACAACUGGCUGCAGGCUAAGAAAAGAAAUAAAACCAGUAACAGAAGAAGCCCAACUUGUAUACAGAGAUGAAACAGGGGAAUUAUUUCUUACACAGGAGUUUAGGUCAACUUUAUCAGAUAUAUUUGAAGUAAUUGAUUUAGACGGAAAUGGUCUUCUUAGUCUUGAAGAAUAUAAUUUUUUUGAAUUGAGAACAAGCGGUGAGAAAUGUGAUGAAGAUGCUUGGGCUGUCUGCAGAGAGAAUUUUGAUACCAAGAAAAAUGAACUAACAAGACAGGGCUUUAUGGAUCUGAAUCUGAUGGAAGCCAACGAUCGAGAAGGGGAUCCUCGUGAUCUCUGGGUAACUCUGCACUCAAUGGGCUACAAUAAAGCUCUGGAACUGACGGAGGCAUGCCCAUUUGUCAUUGAUAUCUAUGCAGACAAAUGCAAGCCAAGAAUUAAAGCUGUCCAUAUGGAAGCAUGCAGUGGACAACUUGAGAAGGCCAUUUGUAAAUCUGUUCUUAACAAAGGCAAUGCCAAAGUGAUGGAUGGCUAUGAAAAUAUAAUUAUAUAUACUUAUAAGCGUGACACCUGGAUAACAUCAGUUAUUGAAAACAAGUCAGACAAUAAAGUGAUUAUUCACAUCAACAAUGAGCUGAGUAGAAACUGUGUAAACAACAGAGGCCUCGACAUAUUUGCAGUAGAAGUGGCACCAAAAUCUACAAUGGUUUGUCAACAUGUAAUGCCACUGAAUGAGCGACAAGAAUGGAUAUAUUAUUGUGUGUAUUCCCUUAUAUCUUAAACACUAUUUUUAAGAAAUUACUGUGCUUGAGACUGUCAAACUAAGAAUUAUUUCAAGUUUGGUUUGUUAUUUGUUGAUCACUACAUAUAAUCAAUUUAACUGAUGUAUAUAAUAAUCUCUUUAAUUUGUAUGCAUUUGGGUUUCAUGUCCUUAUUAUAUACUGU
rnacentral:lncRNA from 1 species